rnacentral:sRNA from 1 species
CGUUCACUCAGGGGUGACAUGGGUAAUGGGCAAAUAGCACAACACGGGGGCAAAGCAAAGACUGUCCAUCCACAGAUGCUACCAUGGUUGACGGGAUCUAUAUUACAUGAAGGCGUCAGGUUGCACAUCUUAUGGUGAAAAACCCGUAACAGGCCUCCAGUAUUAGGUUCUGAAACUUAGACGAAUGGGGAGCCUCCCCGUUACUCCCCUAGAUGAAAUUCACUGUUUAAAAACUGGCGUCCUCAGGAACUUGCUUCUCCAUAGAGUUCAGAACUAGCAUGGGUCAAAUGGUGACCUCCUUGAGCCCUGCAGUCUUGGCGGUGACAACCUCUGUGGGGCCUUUAAAACUGGCUCACCGGAAAAACGUGGACGAGUUCAGAGCUGAGGGCUGGAGAAGCCCAGAAAGUCUGUGAUCAGAGUAAUGAGCUAUCGCAGUGAGAGAGCCGAGGACUGGAAUAGCGGCAGACAUGAAGCUGGUGAGCGUCCUCCUUGCUCGUGAAGUUUCAGAAGUCACGCUUGAGGCUAUUCGUGUGAUAUUCUGGCAAAGUAUCCAAUCCAGGACUGACUGUUUGAGUGAACCUUAAUUUAAAGUGAUGGCCUUUGGAGCUGCAAAGAUCAAGGCUUCGGAAGCCUUGGUUGGAGUGUAUUUUCUGCUCGUAGAAACAUCCUCCAAGCAAGACUGGAAAUUAAGUGGAUAGAGUAGACCAGCCUUCCUAUGGCAUCUAUAAAAUCUGUCUCAGCUCUAUGUCUGUGUGAUACAAGAUUGAUGAGAUUGCUUCUCUUAGGGCUUUCCCCAGAGAUAGGUCCAGAAGGCGGGGUCCCUGUGUCACCCUCCCUUGCCUACCAGGUUGUUCAUUUCUGCACAUUGAAUGUUUCUUCCUCUGUCUAUUCCUUUUUGUUCUGUACUCAAUAGUUGGCAUUGUAAUGUUGACUGUACUGUGGAGGCAGAAACUUGGUUCUCCAAAAUACCCAACUGAGGAACAUUUUCUACAGAGAUAUUGCCCGUUUGUCAUCCAAUGAUGAGACUUAAGUGCUAGGGAGAAAUGAGUAGAACUAGAGGCGGCAGGCUCGUUACAGAUAACCCAGGCUUAUAGAAAGGAUAAAGGAAUGUGUCAGAGAAACUGGGAGUCACUGAUGUAAAAAGGAAGGACAGUGAGGAAAACAAGCAAGAUAUGAGAGAAGGAGCAUAUGGACAGGAAGUCUAAAGAAUGGGCUUAGUGGCAGAAGAUAUGCCUUCCAUAUUGUCAUAAAACAUUGAUAUGAUUAAUAUACCAAAGUCAAUAAGAAACUCUCAUUACACGGAAUGUAUAAUAUAUAAAGUAGUAUCAAUAACAUUCCAACUUAAUUAAUGUGAAAGUAUUUUCCCCGAGUCUGCCGUUGUAAAACAAGCACCCGUUUCUCAUCUUAAAUAACGUUAAAAUGAUUGAUUAGGAGAACGUUGGGCUGAAGCAGCUUGAAGCCCUGGAUUCCUACAUGAAAGCGAUGGGUUGUACUCCCAUCGGUGUCACAUGACCUCACCGCUGUCUUGAUUCGGAAGAUACAUCAUGGAACUCUCACACGGUGUGCACUGUGCGGCCAUGUCCUUUGUUGGCUGCGGUCUGGAACAGCUCAGAUUUGAAACUGCAGUAUGUGAGAAAACAGUGUCUUUACUACACGUACAAAACUUUCUGCUUUUACAGGUAUAGAAUGGUUUAACUGUAAAACCAAACACUUCUCAUAUUUUCCUAUCUCUCGGAGCUAAGUGUCAAAUUACUACAUUGUGUUAAAAUGCUUGCGUUUUUAAAAUGGAGUUGUUAACUUGAGUCUUAGUUUAAAAAACUCAUUGAAUGAAUUUUGGUUUAAAAUCAGAACAGAAUUUUCAACCAUUUCUGAAAUUACUCUAGACUUACUUCUGUUUUAUACUAUGUAUUUAUGCAAAAUGACAAUCUCAAUGAUGACAUUUUAAAACCAAGUAAACAAGUGUAUCUCUCUUAUGAGCA